ensembl:snoRNA
GGCCUCUUGAUGCUUGCUACAGGCUGUGUUCUUACACUGACUCUAUAGAAAGAGGCAGCAGAACAAACCUGUCUCAUGUACACCUCAGCCCAGGUCACUGUGCCUGAUCUGUAUUGUGAAUGUGGAGACAAGG